UACGUAGGGGGGCAAGCGUUGUCCGGAAUCAUUGGGCGUAAAGAGCGUGUAGGCGGCUCGGUAAGUCCGCUCUGAAAGCCCGGGGGCUCAACCCCGGGAGGCGGGCGGAUACUGUCGGGCUAGAGUCCGGAAGAGGCGAGUGGAAUUCCUGGUGUAGCGGUGAAAUGCGCAGAUAUCAGGAGGAACACCAAUGGCGAAGGCAGCUCGCUGGGACGGUACUGACGCUGAGACGCGAAAGCGUGGGGAGCAAACAGG
rnacentral:rRNA from 1 species